rnacentral:misc_RNA from 1 species
GUGGCGAAGUCCAAUAUAAUUUUCUUGUGAGUUUCAGAAUUCUUUAAUUCUAUCUAGUUAAUAGUUUUCCUAAGUUCAAAAGUUGGAUCCAGAAAUCUGCAUACAUGUACACGAUGCAGUGUAAGACUUGUUCUUGGUCUUGAGUGAGGAGGAAUUGUCUUGUGUAAUUCCAUUGUGGUGGGUGAAUGGC